UAAGAUUGUUUUUUUGCCCUAGAAUGCUAACCAGUCCUGACUUAGAGGGCAAGUAAAUUUAAAAAACUUAAAUUAGAAAUAAAGAAUGAUCUUAGGAAAUUAUAGGGUCAUUCUGGUCCAGCAAUGUUUUAUAACUAGCUUCCUCCUUCUCUUUAGUAGUCAACGGAAAUUAUUAAAGAGUGUUGCAUUUUCCUAAUACAGCCCCCUCAACACAUGCCAUUUAAGUAAACUCCAUGUAAGAGGCAGUUAUAGUGGUUUUUAUAAUAUAAACUAUCUGAUACAAACACCAUCUGAAAGCCUGUAUUUCUAACAAGUUGACUAUAUGGAAGAAUAGACUAGUUCGCAGCUCAGAAGAUUAUAAUGUAGAUUACACUGGUAAAGAGCAGAAAUUGUUGAAGCUUUAGUACCUAGCUGUCUUAAAGCAUUUUUAAACAUUUACACAUUACUAAUAAAAAGUUUGAAGUUAACAUGAAAUUUGACAUAACACUGAGUAAGCUGUAAAUAUUUCAUGUAGAAGAUGUCAGACACCUGAUAAAUGUUACUUACCAAAUAGAACUGAAAGUGAGAUGAUCAGAAAAGGACUGUCCCUUGCCUCAAGCAAGCUUCUGAAGCCUAGGCAAGUUAGCUAGGUCCUUAAUAUGGGAUUCUGGCAUCUUGAUUUUAAUGUGCUCUGAAAACAAAGUGUGUGACUCAUGAAAUAAAGGACACUAAACCCCAAAUUUGAAAUUAUGAAAAGUUUAGGCCAAAGAGGUAAAAUAAAAACAGCUGUUGGGAAUGAAAAAUGGCUGUAGGAAUUUAGUUACAAGUACUUCACAAAAACAUUUUCAUCACAUUUACAUCAUACAGCAUUACAAUACAAAGCUGGCUGCUGUCCUGACCAAGCAAGUUCUCUUAUCAUCUAACAAAAAUAAUUUAGAUACAUUUCUUUGCAUGGAAUUGUCAUAUUUUUCCAUUUUUGGUACAAAACAUAGAAAAAAACAUUGGCACAUUAUGUAGUGAUAAGUCAUUUUUUCCCCAUGUACAAGUUCCAAGUAUUCUGCAUUCCAAUUUGUAUUGGAAAAAAGUAAUUACUGAUUCAAUUAAUUCAGUCUCUGUUUAUACUUUUUAAAAAUGCAGCAUGAAGUACAGAGAAAGAAAAACGAAGUUUGUUUACGGGGUCUAAUAUAAUACAUAGGAAGGAUCGGCUGGUAAAAGAGAAAAGAAAAUCUCAAGUCUGACUUUAUGUAGAUCACAGAGUUGUGAAAAGAGCAGUAUAAAAAUAUGCACUUGUGCUUUAGAAGCUUUUAGCAUACAAUUAAUAGCUUAAAAUAGUAUUUACUGCCUCCCAUAUGCUUAUUUUCUGAUAUAUUUACACCACACAAUUUUAACAUUGUUAAAGCUAAUGGCAUGAUUUCAAAUAUAGAUUGGUUAAAAAUAUCUGAACCUUGAAACUUCCCCUCCCUAUCCCCUCCCAAAAUAUUACGUAUAUGUGGUGCAUGGCACAAUAUACUCCAUGGGCUUACACCCAGAAAAUUUGGAUUUUAAUAAAAAUUU
rnacentral:lncRNA from 1 species